rnacentral:lncRNA from 1 species
UUUAACUAUUCAAGUGAUUGCUAAACUUAUAUAUGAACAGAGGAAGCACUUUAGUGGAGGGGGAGCAAGAAGAAAGGAGAUGAAAAACCUUUCCUUAUGUGAUUCCUUCACCAAUUAAUGAAAGUCCCACUAGCUGAUACACUGUUCUUGUUGUCAAGUCAUCAUAAGAUCUUUUCUUUUCACAAAGAUAAACAAAAAUAGAC